AUAUUAUUAUAGCAUAUUAUUAAAGGUAGAGUAUUGAUAAAAUUUUUUAUAAUUAGUAUUUGUAGAACCGUAUAUUAUUAAUUUUAACUUCACAGGAUAUCUAUAUAAUAAUUAAAUUCUAAGAAACACAUAAUAAUAUCAGAUGCAGUUAACGCGGUCAUUAUAAUAGAAAUAUUUAACGUAACAAUAAAUUAAAAAUGAAUGAACAGAUCUUGAUGAUUAAACGAUAGUAUAGAACUGAUCCAAUAAAAGUAUACAUUUUCGGAAAUAAAAUAAUAUUAAAAAGAAAAAAUCAGUUCUUAAUUUCAGAAAAAAAAGAGAGAAGAAAAAAAAUCGUAAAGAUAGAACAUAUGUAAGUAAAUUUUAUUCAAUUUAAUGGUAUGAAGUUGCCAACAAAGAAAACUAAUAGUCAAAUGUUCAAUAUAUUUUAAAAUAAUUUUUUCUUUUUAUGAACUUUUAAUAAGAUUUUUAAUAUUAAUUUUUUAUAAGAAUUGGGUAAUAACGUACCCAAAUAUAUUAUUUAUUAAAUUUGUAUAAUGAUAAAUCGAGGAAAUAAUAACAAUUAUGUGUCAAGCUUUUAAUAUUAUGCAAGAUAAUACUGAAAUGCAAAAAACCAACCAUGGACAUUUUGGUUGGUUAUACAAGGUUCGUUAAUUAAGUUAUUAUUUGUAA